AUACUGAGGGUGCAAGCGUUAAUCGGAAUUACUGGGUGUAAAGCGCACGUAGGCGGUUUAUUAAGUCAGAUGUGAAAGCCCUGGGCUUAACCUGGGAACUGCAUUUGAGACUGGUAGGCUAGAGUAUGGUAGAGGAUAGUGGAAUUCCGGGUGUAGCGGUGAAAUGCGUAGAUAUCCGGAGGAACAUCAGUGGCGAAGGCGGCUAUCUGGACCAAUACUGACGCUGAGGUGCGAAAGCGUGGGGAGCAAACAGGAUUAGAAACCCUUGUAGUCC
rnacentral:rRNA from 1 species